GUUGAGGUAGCCAAGCCUGGUAUGGCGCGGGGUUGCUAACCCCGUGUCCUUCUCGGACUCGGGGGUUCAAAUCCCUCCCUCAACG
rfam:Methanoplanus petrolearius DSM 11571, complete genome.